UGGGGAAUAUUGGACAAUGGGCGAAAGCCUGAUCCAGCCAUGCCGCGUGUGUGAAGAAGGUCUUCGGUUGUAAAGCACUUUAAGUUGGGAGGAAGGGCAGUAAAUUAAUACUUUGCUGUUUUGACGUUACCGACAGAAUAAGCACCGGCUAACUCUGUGCCAGCAGCCGCGGUAAUACAGAGGGUGCAAGCGUUAAUCGGAAUUACUGGGCGUAAAGCGCGCGUAGGUGGUUCGUUAAGUUGGAUGUGAAAUCCCCGGGCUCAACCUGGGAACUGCAUUCAAAACUGACGAGCUAGAGUAUGGUAGAGGGUGGUGGAAUUUCCUGUGUAGCGGUGAAAUGCGUAGAUAUAGGAAGGAACACCAGUGGCGAAGGCGACCACCUGGACUGAUACUGACACUGAGGUGCGAAAGCGUGGGGAG
rnacentral:rRNA from 1 species